GCGGGAAUAGCUCAGUUGGUAGAGCUCCACCUUGCCAAGGUGGAGGUCGCGGGUUCGAGUCCCGUUUCCCGCU
rnacentral:tRNA from 1 species